GGGUGAGUAGCUCAGUUGGUAGAGCGACGGUCUCCAAAGCCGUAGGUCGGGGGUUCGAGACCCUCCUCACUCG
rnacentral:tRNA from 1 species